CUGGCAGUNNUNUAGCCUUUCACGUGAGUGGCGAACGGGUGAGUAACACGUGGACAACCUGCCUCAAGGCUGGGGAUAACAUUUGGAAACAGAUGCUAAUACCGAAUAAAACUUAGUGUCGCAUGACACAAAGUUAAAAGGCGCUUCGGCGUCACCUAGAGAUGGAUCCGCGGUGCAUUAGUUAGUUGGUGGGGUAAAGGCCUACCAAGACAAUGAUGCAUAGCCGAGUUGAGAGACUGAUCGGCCACAUUGGGACUGAGACACGGCCCAAACUCCUACGGGAGGCUGCAGUAGGGAAUCUUCCACAAUGGGCGAAAGCCUGAUGGAGCAACGCCGCGUGUGUGAUGAAGGCUUUCGGGUCGUAAAGCACUGUUGUAUGGGAAGAACAGCUAGAAUAGGAAAUGAUUUUAGUUUGACGGUACCAUACCAGAAAGGGACGGCUAAAUACGUGCCAGCAGCCGCGGUAAUACGUAUGUCCCGAGCGUUAUCCGGAUUUAUUGGGCGUAAAGCGAGCGCAGACGGUUUAUUAAGUCUGAUGUGAAAGCCCGGAGCUCAACUCCGGAAUGGCAUUGGAAACUGGUUAACUUGAGUGCAGUAGAGGUAAGUGGAACUCCAUGUGUAGCGGUGAUGG
rnacentral:rRNA from 1 species